rnacentral:rRNA from 1 species
UACGGAGGAUGCGAGCGUUAUCCGGAUUUAUUGGGUUUAAUGGGUGCGUAGGCGGCUUUUUAAGUCAGCGGUGAAAUUUUGCAGCUUAACUGUAACAGUGCCGUUGAUACUGGGGAGCUAGGAUUUGGUUGCUGUGGGUGGAAUGUGUGGUGUAGCGGUGAAAUGCUUAGAUAUUACACAGAACACCGAUUGCGAAGGCAGCUUACUAAUCCAUCAUUGACGCUGAGGCACGAAAGCGUGGGGAUCAAACAGGAUUAGA